rnacentral:rRNA from 1 species
UACAGAGGGUGCAAGCGUUAAUCGGAAUUACUGGGCGUAAAGCGUGCGUAGACGGUAGCGUAAGUCGGGUGUGAAAGCCCCGGGCUCAACCUGGGAAUUGCAUUCGAGACUGCUCUGCUAGGGUGCGGAAGAGGGGAGCGGAAUUUCCGGUGUAGCGGUGAAAUGCGUAGAUAUCGGAAGGAACACCAGUGGCGAAAGCGGCUCCCUGGUCCAGCACCGACGUUCAGGCAUGAAAGCGUGGGGAGCAAACAGG